UCCUACGGGAGGCAGCAGUGAGGAAUAUUGGUCAAUGGACGCAAGUCUGAACCAGCCAUGCCGCGUGCAGGAUGACGGCCCUAUGGGUUGUAAACUGCUUUUCCACGGGAAGAACCCUCCGACGUGUCGGAGACUGACGGUACCGUGGGAAUAAGCAUCGGCUAACUCCGUGCCAGCAGCCGCGGUAAUACGGAGGAUGCAAGCGUUAUCCGGAUUUAUUGGGUUUAAAGGGUGCGUAGGUGGGCUUAUAAGUCAGCGGUGAAAUCCCCCGGCUCAACCAGGGAAUUGCCGUUGAUACUGUUAGCCUUGAGUACAGUUGAAGUGGGCGGAAUGUAGCAUGUAGCGGUGAAAUGCUUAGAUAUCACACAGAACACCAAUUGCGAAGGCAGCACACUAAGUCAAUAUUGACGCUGAGGCACGAAAGUGUGGGGAUCAAACAGGAUUAGAUACCCUGGUAGUCCACACUGUAAACGAUGAUAACUCGCUGCCGGCGAUACAUUGUCGGUGGCCAAGCGAAAGCAUUAAGUUAUCCACCUGGGGAGUACGACCGCAAGGUUGAAACUCAAAGGAAUUGACGGGGGCCCGCACAAGCGGAGGAACAUGUGGUUUAAUUCGAUGAUACGCGAGGAACCUUACCCGGGCUCGAACGGUGCAUGCAUAUAAGAGAGAUCUUAUAGUCUUCGGACAUGCAUCGAGGUGCUGCAUGGUUGUCGUCAGCUCGUGCCGUGAGGUGUCGGCUUAAGUGCCAUAACGAGCGCAACCCUUGUCAUUAGUUGCCAUCAGGUUAAGCUGGGGACUUUAAUGAGACUGCCACCGUAAGGUGUGAGGAAGGUGGGGAUGACGUCAAAUCAGCACGGCCCUUAUGUCCGGGGCGACACACGUGUUACAAUGGGAGGUACAGAGGGCAGCCAUCCGGCGACGGAGCGCUAAUCUCGAAAACCUUUCUCAGUUCGGAUUGGAGUCUGCAACUCGACUCCAUGAAGGUGGAUUCGCUAGUAAUCGCGCAUCAGCCAUGGCGCGGUGAAUACGUUCCCGGGCCUUGUACACACCGCCCGUCAAGCCAUGGAAGCUUGGGGUGCCUGAAGUUCGUGACCGCAAGGAGCGACCUAGGGCAAAACAGGUAACUGGGGCUAAGUCGUAACAAGGUAGCCA
rnacentral:rRNA from 1 species